rnacentral:rRNA from 1 species
UACGUAGGGUGCAAGCGUUGUCCGGAAUUAUUGGGCGUAAAGAGCUCGUAGGCGGUUAGUCGCGUCUGCUGUGAAAACUCGGGGCUUAACUCCGGGCCUGCAGUGGGUACGGGCUGACUAGAGUGCGGUAGGGGAGACUGGAAUUCCUGGUGUAGCGGUGAAAUGCGCAGAUAUCAGGAGGAACACCGGUGGCGAAGGCGGGUCUCUGGGCAACAACUGACGCUGAGGCACGAAGGUCAGGGGAGCAAACGGG